AUAAGGAUUGGAAAAAACAUUGUUUGUAUCUAAAAUGGGGUCAAGAAUGUAGAAGAUGGAGUUUCUUGGGUGUUUUUCUUGGAGUUAUACUAGAAAGAAGUCGGGCAAGUGAUAUUUACGCGUGGGCGAUUUCUCUCUCAAAUUUUUUUCUUCUUAUAAUCACAAUCUCUUGUUCCGUCAAUAAGUUUUUUCGUUGACUCCAGCGACGAAGAAACCCAUUGGGACAUGGUGCUUCAACCGUGAUCCGCUACAUCUUCUCGGCAAUUCAAUCUAUUCAAAAUCAAGGGAGCAGUGGAGGGCAAAUGCGGCAUUAGGGGAGUGCAAGAGGAGCAAUUGCACAGGAUCCAAAAAUUAUUUGAUCAAAAUUAAAGGGUAAAAUA
rnacentral:sRNA from 1 species